rnacentral:lncRNA from 1 species
GAUCGGAGGCUUCUUCUCCCUUGAUGGAACAAUGAAUUAGGGUUGAGAGGCUCUCUCCUCCAGGGGCCAGGGGGUCUGGUUUUAUAGUCCCUUCAAGUGAAUAUGGGCCCUUGGAUCAAACCGACAUAGAUUGUAUGGUUUAGAUUCAUCCUUUAGGUCGGUGGAGAUCUCCCGCAAAGCAGAGUCCUGAUUGGACUCAGGGGCAGGGCGGGCGCCCUGACCAACUGGGCGGCCGCCCAGGGUCUGGCCCCGUUUCGCCUCCGCUUCGGUCUCGUGGCUUCUGGAGUCUUCUAGAUGUAAGAUAAUUGCGCAGCACGUUAAUACCUUUACGUAACCCUGACAUGUGGGCCUUUCUUCCGUAUUUCCUGAUAACCCCCUACAGAAAUAGACAAACACCAAAACUCGUGGAAUUCUGUCAGAUAAAACCCUAAGUCUGGAUCUUGAUUCCAUUUGGAUCCUUUUCUUUAUUUAUUUGAUAAUUAAAUUUGAUACUUAAGGACCGUCAACAAACUCCCCCAAGCUUACCUCUUGCUCGUCCCUGAGCAAGGAUAGACUCAGCUAUGGAUCAUAAGUUGUUGCAAUAUAUUUAAAAAUUUGACGGUACACAUGCUUUUUAAAUAAAAUCUCAUCUCUGAGUUAGAGUAAACUGUCAAGACUUAAAACUUACUUACUUUACCUUCACCAUGGGACUUGUAACUGUCACUUCUGUCUUGAGUGGUUAAAAGAUAGAACAGUCUAGCCAAGUGCCAUGUCUCUUAUUCUUGAUCAGCUAUAGCUCUGGGGUUUUUGUAGAUUUUCAAAUAAAACUCAGAGAUUCCUUGUAUGAUUCUCUCAGGUCUCUCUUUUGUGGUAUUUUUGGAUCCUUACCAAGGCAUUGAUGGUAUAUGCCUUCUCUCAAGAUAUGUGGUAUUUGUGGUAUGAGGCAUAGUGACAUUGCCUUCUCUCUCAUCCUAUUCUAAUAAGGCUUUAAUAUCUGGAGCUCAUAGGUGGGAGAUAAAAUAUACAUACUUACAAGACAUUUAUUGCAUAGUCAAACCAUGGAUCCAAAGUAACAAGUCAAUAAGUUUAAUCAAGAUGUGCAUGUGUGGCGAAUGAAUGGUAUAUGGUGAUGAUGGUAAUAACAAUGGUGAAAAUAAUGGUGGUGGAAGUCUAAUUCUACUUUUGCUCUUUGAGGGGAUACAUACCUUCCUUGCUUUUGAAACUUUAUAAGGAGAAUGAGAUGCUCUUCUUUUUCUUUUCUCUCAGGUGGGUAUCUUGCACCCCUAAUUCUACUAUCGGACACUUGUCCAUUUUUACCUCUCGUCUCACUUUUUCUUUUCUUUCGAGGUUCCGAGCACUUGCUCCUUUUUAUUUCCUCGUAUUAUUUCUCCCUUUUUUCUCUCUCUUUUUUUUAGAGCAUUCAUCUCUUGAGAUAAUAUAGCAAGUGGUAGUAACAAGAUAACUUGAGCAUUUACUUCACAAGGGAAAACAGAAAUAUUUUUGGUUAUUCUCUCCCGGAUUAGGAGUAGAAUAGUUUCAGGUGGUUCUGGAGAUGGAAUGGGUGGAUAUAUGUGGAUGGUACUUCCGGAAUAGAAGUAGCAUAUAUGAGUGAACGUGCAAGUGAAAUCUUGAUUUAACCACAUGACAAGCUCCUAAGGGUCUACACAGCUUGACCACACUCAAUGCUCAUAAGCAGUAAAUAAUAAAUGUGUGGCUCAAAGUCUAGCAAGCAUGCAUAUAUGGCUGUGGUAGGAAUUUAAACUCUCAUCAUACAGGAACUCAUCAUGCAACAUUUUAAAGAUUUUUAAAGAUAAAAUUCUCCAGAAUUUUAGCAUCUCUAGGAACAGAUAAAUAGUAGCUCAACCCUCCCAUAUCAUAUCCGUUAACAGCUUAGACUUCACAUCAAGUUUUCAUCCCACAAGUUUAGGUCUAGAGCAAGCUUUAAAUUAUAACAGUUAUAUCUAAACUUGAGAGAGAACUUAAAAUUUGCAAAUUAGGCAGAGCAACUAUUUAUCAUAUCUAUGCUUAAGUUUUAUUUAGAUACAGAUUAGCAUAGCCACUUUAUUUAUUUAUUAAACACACUAAGCAAAAGACAUAUAUAUAUAUAUAAGCAUAAAAUCUUUAUUUGGUUUUUCCUAGUUUUUGUAUUCUAAUAUUCUAAAAUAAUAUAAGUAUAAAGAUAGAUAGAAAUACUUAUCGAGAUAAAUGGGGGUGCUCUCCCCCAAGCUGAAUUUUGACGUAAUUUCUCUUGAUGUAGCUAGCAGGUGGCAGAGGUGUAGUUGAAAGUCAGCAGCAUUCUGACAGCGAUUAGAAUGUCCUCCGUCUGCUAGUCUUCUUGGUUCUUAAAUUCUGUGGAGCUCAAAUAGACAACAAAGCUUGUGGAACUGAUUAAGUGUUAGCAUAAAUAUCUAGCCUUUAUCAUCUUGAGACUCCUUAGUAAAUAUUACUCCCUGUUUUUAUAUUUUUAUUUUUAUAGAGCAGAAAAAUAAUUAUUUUAUUUUUAUGCCACCACAGUGAAUGUACUUAUGGGUUUUAUGCCACUCGUCUACUCACAUGGGGCUUACUGUUUUUCACAUUUUUAUUUUCUUUUAUUUUUAAGAUAGUAUGAAUAUGAUUAACUAAGUAAACUAUUUAAAAUAAUUGAAAGGGAAAGGAUAACUACCAAGUUUACCUCUUGGCAAGGCGUUCGGUGUUUUUAAGUCCUCCAAACGGGACUCUCCAUUUUCUCAAUUGUCCUGAGGUUCGUUGGGUGGCGUAGUCGGUACUUCCGGCAGCGCCUCCUCUUCUUGUAUAGUUAUCUUCAUUUUCCAUACCUGACUCGGUGCUUCAAUCUCCUCUGGAUAAUUCUGUUUAAACUCUACAUCUUCUGACCUUACAACUUCUCCUUCAUAGUCUGCCCAUCCGUCCUUGAUGAUAUGCCUUCUCUGGUUGCGGUUGCGUCUUUUUCUGACCUGCUUAGAUUCUUCAACGAUAUAGUUAGGGUCAGUAAAAUAACGGCGUACCUUCUCUGAGGGGAAGUGCAUAUGGACUUCUCCGGUUCCAAUGUAGAUAAUUGCUUUAACGGUGCUGAGGAACGGUCUUCCAAGGAUGAUGGGUGGAUCAUAUUCGUCUUCUCCCAUGUCAACAACUUGAAAGUCAGUGUAGACAAAGUGAUCGUCUAUUUUGACUGGGACAUCAGAUACUAUUCCUUUAACUUCUCGAAAUGUCUGAUCUGCCAUCUGGAGGUGAAUGUAUGUUGGUCUUAGUGGCAUGGUCCCGAACAAGAGCCGAUAGGUGACUGCGGCCAUUAUGUUGACGCCUGAUCCGGUGUCGCAAAUCGUCUUGUAGAAGUUGUAUCCAUUUAUGGAGCAGUAAAUGCUUGGCAUUCCUGGGUCGUCCUUCUUGGUCAAGAACGGUGACUUAAGUUGGUGAUCUUGGCCUCCAUGGACUACAGUGACCAUCUUCGCUGACUCGGUCCACACUUGCUUGUUCCUGUUUCUCCUAUUGGUCCUCUUCCUUGAUUUACAUCUGGAUUGAUCUUGAAUUUGUGUAGUCUUGUUCUUGAAGAAAAAUGUCUCCUUCUUCCCUUUGACGUAGAAACUGAUCUUGGCAGCACUGGCGUAGAUGAUAGCUCCCGUGGUGUUCAAGAAUGGCCUCCCUAAGAUGAUAGGUGCUCUCUCAUCAUUUCCGGUCUCUACCACUACGAAGUCUGCUGGUGCAUACAAGGUACCAACUCGGACACAAAGGUUCCUCACUAUUCCUUUUGGAAAAGUUAUCGUCUGAUCUACAAACUGCAAACACAUGGUUGUCUCUAAUAAAGGAUAUGUAAAGAAUUUUUCAUAGAGUACCCUGGGUAUAAUGUUGACGCUAGAGCCAAAGUCACAGAGUGCUUCUGGGACAUCCACCAUGCCGAUGGAGAUCGGGAUGACGGGGCGUCCUGGAUCUCCUCUCUUGACCGGCAGACGGUCAGUAGAAAAUUAAUUGACGGGGUUACUCCAAUUACCUGCAUCAAACACGUCUACAAGAUUUGCAGAUUCUAAUCCUUCCGGUUGUGAUGGUAUACCGGGGUUAGUAGUAGGAACAGCAGCAGCUAAUUGAUUUAACUGAGAUUCAAUCAUUUUAUUAAAGCUAAUUUGAUUCUUGAUGGCAGUAGAAAAAUUAUCCAUUCUAUUAUUUAUAUUUUCUAGCAUUUUAUCAUUAGAUGCCAAUUUCUUAGAUAGGUUAUCCAUUAGCUUGCCUUGAUUAGACACUAACUCUCUCAAAGGUGGAAAAUUAUUAUUGUUGUUGUAAGAAUUGUUACCUUGAUAAUUACCUGAGUAGUUAGGCCUCUGUUGAUUCCAACCUUGAUUUUGUUGAGGACGGUUGUAGUUGUUGUUGUUGUUGUUGUUGAUGUAGUUCACAUCCUCAAGUAUCUCAGGGCAGUGGUUGCCUGAGUGUCCACUGUCUCCACACUCCUCACAAGUCAUGUGAGAGUCGUAGAUGUGCAUAACUUCUUUCUUGUCUCCAGCUCUAUCGUCGAGCUUCUUCAUGAGCAGGUCUAGCUUUGCAGACAGCAUGUCUACCUCCUUCAGCUGAUGCAUACCUCCACCUCUCUUGCGUGUCUGGGUCCUCUCUUCAUUCCAGCUUUGGUUGGACGCCAUCUUCUCCACAAGAGUUGUGGCUUGUGAUAUAGUAAGCGAUAAGAAUGCUCCUCCAGCUGCAGCAUCAAUAGUCUCUCGGGCACUGUUGCUGAGCCCAUGAUAGAAUGUCUGCAUCAAUAGCCAACUUUCCAUUCCAUGAUGGGGACAUUCUAGGAUGUAGUCUUGAAAGCGCUCCCAUGCUUCUGGAACAGAUUCAUCAUUUUGUUGCUGAAAACUUGUAAUCUUCCCACGGAGAGCAUUGGUCUUGCCCAUGGGAAAGAACUUAGCCAGGAAGUUUAUUGAGCAGAGUGCCCACGUAGUAUUCUUCUCCUUUGUAGCAUAGAACCACUGCUUCGCUCUUCCUAACAGUGAGAAUGGGAAGAGGCGAAGUAGUAUAGCGUCUUUGGAAACUCCUGCUAUGGUGAAUGUGUUGCAAAUCUCCAGGAAGUGUUGUAAAUGAGCACUAGCAUCUUCGUGUGCCUUCCCACAGAACUGGUUGGAUUGCACCAUGUUGAUAAGUCCAGGCUUGAGCUCAAAGUUGCCAUCGAUCUCUGCAGCAGGUCCAGUGCGGAUGUUGUCCGUAGUGGGAGCUGAGAACUCACGGAUCGAUUUGUUCGCCAUGGCUUCGAACUCUGAAGACAAGUUCCGGUGAUCUUCUUGAUUGGAUGAAGCUUCUUCGUGAAGUGUUGAUGAUUUCUUUAGCUUGGCUCUCGUCUUCUUGAAUAAUGCUUCAGGAUCGUCAACAAAAUUUCCUGGAAGAUAUCUUCUAUUCAUACAUUCCCCUGCAUAAGAUAAAAUAGAAAAAUAUCGGGGUAAAACUGUAUGAGAGAAUAGAUAAGCUCAAUCAUAUUAGUGAUGCGAAUGAUAACUCAAAAUCUUUUAUUCCAUUCCUGAUUGGUAAUCAACCUUCCCCGGCAACGGCGCCAAAAAUGCUUGUUGGGUAUUCUUAACAUCAUUACUAAAAGUAGACUAAGUUCUCUAAAUCUAGCAACGGUGCCAAAAAUGCCAAACCUAUCCCUUACACCACUUAAGCCAAGUUGUCAUCCCCAGCAUGAUAUAAGAGACGCGGUAUUGAAAUAUGCAAUUGCUCUUCUAAAUAAAUAAUGAAUGGGAUCUGCAAGCGCACAGAUUAAUACCGAUGCAGCAUUUUAACCGGGAAGUAUUCCAGGUAUCGUUAUUUAUAUUUUUACCACUGGGAAGGGAUUAACAAUUAUCACUAUUGAUUACAGAAUAGAAUAUGAGAUUGAGCAUCUAUCAUUGCAUGUAUAAUUGAGAACAUUAUAUCUAACUCAUCAUACAGGGAUAAGUGUCACAUAAAAGAUAUAUAAAAUAAUAAUAGUGACAAGGAUAACUAAUCUGAUCUAGCCACAUAAUAAAUAUGAUAAGCACCUCAAUUAGAUACUCUAGAAAGUCAUUAGCAUGGAAUUAGAACGAACUACAAGAAUAUUCCCUAAGUUAUUCUUAACUAUAUAGUCUAGCAUAUCAUAGUUAGUGCAAGCAUACUUAGCAAUCAUUGCGAGACAAGACUACACCCAUGCAUAGUGAUAUUAGCAAGGAAUAUGAGAAACAUAGCAAUCACUCCCCUGUAAUAAUGUUGCUCUGCCAGCCCAAUACACGAGAGGGGGACUAUAUAAGAAUCAAUGAAGCUGUCACUAUCACGAACUACCCCACGAUCUGGCAUAUUGGGUACAAUCGCAGAUAAAUACGGUAUAAGCACCACGCCUACACAAUAUCUAUCAUUUACCCAUGGAUCCGAUGGAUAAACGCUAUACGAUCCUAAGCAUGUAUAUAGAUCGUAUCUAACUAAGCCAAGUACAUAACUAUGAUAAACUAAGAACAAUAUAAUCUUGAAUAUAAGCAAGUAGAGCAAAGUCAUAAGCAAUAUAUUGAAAUAGAACAAAGUCAUAUUCAUAAUAUUGAAGAACAAAGAUAAUUAGAAAGUAAUUAGAAGCACAAUUAGAGAAUUACCAAGAAUCCUCCUUACAGAUCCGGAAACCAAUCGAAGAUUGACUCCUUCUAGUUCUAAUCCUAUGUAGCUAUGCUAAUCUAGAUAUCUAAUUGAUGUGGUGGCUCUAAUCUUGAUCAGAGGCUUCUUCUCCCUUGAUGGAACAAUGAAUUAGGGUUGAGAGGCUCUCUCCUCCAGGGGCCAGGGGGUCUGGUUUUAUAGUCCCUUCAAGUGAAUAUGGGCCCUUAGAUCAAACCGACAUAGAUUGUAUGGUUUAGAUUCAUCCUUUAGGUCGGUGGAGAUCUCCCGCAAAGCAGAGUCCUGAUUGGACUCAGGGGC